AGAAUCAACGCUGGCGGCGUGCCUAACACAUGCAAGUCGAACGAGAAAGUGGUAGCAAUACCAUGAGUAAAGUGGCGCACGGGUGAGUAACACGUGACUAACCUACCCUGGAGUGGGGGAUAACUGAGGGAAACCUUAGCUAAUACCGCAUAACACCUACGGGUCAAAGGAGCAAUUCGCUUCAGGAGGGGGUCGCGGCAGAUUAGCUAGUUGGCGGGGUAAUGGCCCACAAGGCAGUGAUCUGUA
rnacentral:rRNA from 1 species